rnacentral:lncRNA from 1 species
CUUUAAACAAAUCUAUGACUAUAGUAUUUCAAAUAGGAAAAAGAGAUUUAAAUAACUUACUAACAGAUACUUGGAAAAAAUGUUCUAGCUCAAAAGCAUAAAAGUUUUUUUCAAAAGUAUUUUUCACCUAUUAAGCUGGCAUAGGUUUAAAAAACAACAAUGAGGCCGGGCGCAGUGGCUCAUGCCUGUAAUCCCAGCACUUCAGGAGGCCAAGGCGGGCGAUCACGAGGUCAGGAGAUCGAGACCAUCCUGGAGAACAUGGUGAAACCCAGUCUCUACUGAAAAUACAAAAAAAUUAGCCGGGCGUGGUGGCGGCGCCUGUAGUCCCAGCUUCUAGGGAGGCUGAGGCAAGAGAAUGGCGUGAACCCGGGAGGUGGAGCUUGCAGUGAGCUGAGAUCUGGCCACUUCACUCCAGCCUGGGCCACUGAGCGAGACUCCAUCUCAAAAAUAAAUAAAUAAAUAAAUAAUUUUUAAAAACCCAAUAAUGUAAAAAAGUAGAUGGUACUGGUGAGAUGUGAGAUAAGUGAUUAUUGUCAUUGAUGUUUAUUUUAUUCUAUUCUUUUUUUAAAAAUAAUUUCAGCUUUUAUUUUAGAUUCAGGAGGUACAUAUGCAGGUUGUUACAUGGGCAUAUUGCAUGAUGCUGAGGUUUGAAAUAUGAUUGAUCCUAUCACCCAGGUACUGAGCAUAGUAUUGUGUCUGGAAUUUAUUCCUUCCAGUGGGUUCUUGGUCUCUCUGACUUCAAGAAUGAAGCCGUGGACCUUUGUGGUGAGUGUUACAGCUCUUAAAGAUGGUGCGUCCGGAGUUUGUUCCUUCCAAUGUUCAGAUGUGUCCAGAGUUUGUUCCUUCUGAUGGGUUCAUGGUCUCGCUGACUUCAGGAGUGAAGCUGUGGUCCUCGGCAGACCUUCGCUGUGAGUGUUACGGAGUGCUGAUUGGUGCGUUCACAAUCCUUUAGCUAGACACAGAGUGCUGAUUGGUGUGCUUUUACAGAGUGCUGAUUGGUGCGUUCACAAUCCUUUAGCUAGACAGAAAAGUUCUCCAAGUCCGCAUUCGACCCAGGAAGUCCAGCUGGCUUCACCUCUCAGUAUCCAAUGGAGUCUCGCUCUGUUACCAGGCUUCACUGCAACCUCCACCUCCCAGUUCAAGCAACUCUCCACCUCCACCUCCCAGCUAGUUGGGACUACAGGCACAUGCCACCAUGCCUGGCUAAGUUUUUGUAUUUUUUUUUUUAGUAGAGACAGGGUUUCACCAUGUUGGCCAGGCUGGUCUCGAACUCCUGAGCUCAAGCAAUCUGCCUGCCUGGGCCUCCCAAAGUGCUGGGAUUACAGUCGUGAGCCACCGCACCUGGCUGAUGAAACAAUUUAACUCUGUUACAAAUAUAUGAAAUUACCUCUCUGUUUUGCUUUAGAUUAUCUGUAAUAUAUAAAUUUUUCACUUUCAGAGCUUAAC